AAGGUCCUCUCCAGCUCAAACCAUUCUGUGAUUUCAUGGUCUUGUUGUAAGGCGUUGUUCCGCCUUAUUUGCCUUCUCAGGCUGCUGGGAAAAGGCCGGUGGGCUUUGGCGGCGGGAUGUUGGGCUGUGUUUGGGAUGUGCUUGUGAUGAUGGCUGUUGGGUUGGAGGGGUGCAGAUUUCUCACCAGCGUGCUUGGCUUUUAAGAUCAGUAUUAGAUUUAAAAUUACUAAUUGCCGUGGUCUCUUAACAGGAGCUGCUGUAAACUUAGCACAGAAAUGCUGUAACAUUAUUAACCUGUAUUAAUUUUUAAUUUCAACAGGUGACUUGAGGAGUCAUUUAUGGCAUUGUUGUUCUCAUGAAGAAUUCUCACUUCUUUCAGAUAGUCUUAAAAUCUGUGAACAUCCUGAGGACUGGAAUCUGAAUUUGGAUUUCACUGCACGUUAGCUUUUUGAUUUGUCUACUAGCAACUACAGAAAAUUAAUGAAUUUAACUACAAAUACCAAUGGUUUCUGUCAAUGCACCUGCACAUCACCUCAAGGACAUCACAACAUGCCGCUGUGUUUUUUUGAAGCCCAGAUUGCCUGGUCUGGUGGAAAUAUUUCAGGUGGAGAUAUACAGGUGCAAGCUCUGCCAAUUAAUAAGGAGGAUCAAAAGUAAGAUCAGGAUGCACCUGGCUCAAAUGUGUGAGACAGAUAUGGCAGGUCAAAUUUCGGGGUAUCCUAAAAUGGACGAAAGUGAAAAUGAGUCAUAUGGCAUGGGAGAUGAAAAUAAUGAAAGCAAAUAAACUCUUGCAAAAAAUAACUGUCCUGUUGCCUGUGUAUCAGAUGCCUCAAAAUAUGAGUCCUCACUAUUGUAACAUGAGCCUGAGCAUAAUCCUCAUGCCUCUCACUCCUGUGAACACCUUGUUUGGAGAAGCAGCAGCUCAUUUGCAGCUUGAGGAACCCUGCAGUGCUGACUUCUCUCCUGUAUUCCAAGAGAAAGGAUGGAGAAGCCCAGUCUGUGACUCUUAGCAUCUCUAUCAUUUUACAGUGUUAGAACUCAGACCUUUGCUGGGGAGGUAAAACCUGCUAAAGCUGAAUGGAAGUGUAAACAUUACAACAAAAAUAGCUGCAAGCUUGAUGUGAAGGGUCAGCUCGUUCUGUGGAAGAUGCUUGUGCCUUAAAGCUGGGUUCUGAGAGAAGGCAGCACUUUUGCAACAUGUGCAAUAGAGCACUAGAGCCAAAAGAUGCUGAGCAAAUCCGUUGAAAGGGUCAUGAUGUGGAUCGUGGUUUUAAAUGUAUUUAUUGUCCCAUGGAUCUUAAUGGAAAAUCAUUGAAGAAUCACACAAGCGGAUAAAAGAAACCUACCAGUGCCUCAUCUGCGAAAGUGCUUUUAUGUCACAAGAUGCCUGGAGAGUGAAUAAAAACAACCAUUAGAGGAAACCUCCUCCCAGUGCGUGGUAUAUCUGUCGCCUUCUGAAACUGAGCAGAUAAGAAAUCUUCAUGUAGCUUGCUUAUCAUUAUCGGGAUAUGGUUAGAUGUCCACACAGUGAUUUUACCAGUCCUGUUACAUGUAGACCCUUUCGGGUCACUGGCUUCAGCUCCAUCACAAUAUCCUUACAUGUGUUGGUGGUGCCUUGACCACUGAACCAUGCUGGAGAAACUGGAUUAAAGGGUCAGCCCCCCUGAAGUGCAAACUCCUGAAACCAGCAAUUAGCCGUAGUACCUGCCCGUGGCUGUCUCUGAAUUCUUUCUGCUGAAGGCUCUGACCCCGCGGCAGAGCAGGAUCUGUCUCCAGUUGUGUGGAGCUCAAUUGCACGCAGCUCCAGCCGGCUGUGUGUCCUGCAGCACAGAAUGAACAGCUGGUGGCAGAAUGGCCUCGAAGACAACAUUACCAUGCUGACCUGACUGCGACUCCAAGCACCCGGGCUGUGCUACCACACAGAGCUCCAGUAUGCCAAACAUUCAGAAGAAGAGCUUGGACCUUCACAUACACUGACCUCACACUGGUGAGGUAUUUGGCUGUAGUUUUUGCUGCUCUUCUUUCCCUGGCAAACAACUUCUCUGAAAACAUAUUAGGAAAUAUUCCUGGGUUCAGGAACCUCAUUAACCACUUCCCAGCCCAUCUUUACCUUCAAAUUACUCCUUGUGGAACAUUAGGUUCUUCAUGCUUAAACUUCCACCUGAGCAUCCCAGCAAAUAAAGAAGCUGUUGGCAUGGUCAGGCUUUUGUGCUGAAAGCCAAGGAUUAUCUGGAAGAAGAGAAGAAAUGGCCUUUAUGUGGCAAUUAAAAGUACUUAGUAUGGUCUUUCCCAAGUACUUUGUGUGCGGUAUGGUACAGGUGCUAACUUCAGUGUGCUGAGAGUAUCAUGGAGAUUUAUCUUGCACAAAGGUUGGACAUGUUGAUUUUUGGUCUGGUUACCUCUUGCUCAUACAUUCUGCUUACUUACUGAUGAAGAGUUUGACAUUUCAAGACAGAAUCUGUUGAAAAGCGUCAAAGCUGACAGUGAACCCUACAGGUGGUUUGUGUAUUACAUCUUUCAUUUUUAAUACAGUCUGUAUAAAACAGUAAAUGAUUCAAGAAAAUCUACUGAUGCUGUGGCAUUCAAUGUGGUAAAAAAUAUUAACUAAAUUUCUUCCUGGUUACUUUUUAUAACAAAAUGUGUCUAUUAUCAUAUUAUUAUUCUUCAGUGUUGAAGUAAAAAUAGAAACUAUUUUUACUAUAGAAAUAUGACAUCAAAUAAACGUGACUUGAAAAUUCA